rnacentral:rRNA from 1 species
UACGGAGGGGGCUAGCGUUGUCCGGAGUUACUGGGCGUAAAGCGCACGCAGGCGGUCUCUUAAGUUUGGAGUGACAGUUGGUGGCUUAACUGCCAAAGUGCUUCGAAAACUGAGAGACUUGAGGGCUUCAGAGGGACACGGAAUUCCGGGUGGAGUGGUGAAAUGCGUAGAGAUCCGGAGGAACACCAAAGGCGAAGGCAGUGUCCUGGGGAGUACCUGACGCUCAGGUGCGAAAGCCAGGGGAGCGAACGGG